rnacentral:lncRNA from 1 species
AAAUAAAUAAAAUUAUAAUGUAUUUAUGUAUCUAAAAUACCUGCUCCAUCCAAAGUGCUGGCUGAUACGAAUGCUCCAGUAUAUGUUGAUUUAAGGUGGCUGGCAUCUACAACAACAAUCGGCCUACAAUGAUCAAAUCCCUUUAUAAAAGCAUGCAACGCUAUAAACACAUACAAAAAUUCGUUCUCAGGCGUUUUCUUCAUUCGAAUAUGUGAACCAGGGUAUGUCUUAUCCAAGGUAUACA